UACGUAGGGACCGAGCGUUGUCCGGAAUCAUUGGGCGUAAAGAGCGUGUAGGCGGCCUGUUAAGUCUUGCGUGAAAUCUCGGGGCUCAACCCCGAGCGGUCGUGAGAAACUGGCAGGCUAGAGUGCGGGAGAGGAGAGUGGAAUUCCUGGUGUAGCGGUGAAAUGCGCAGAUAUCAGGAAGAACACCCGUGGCGAAGGCGGCUCUCUGGAACGCAACUGACGCUGAGACGCGAAAAGCGUGGGGAGCAAACAGG
rnacentral:rRNA from 1 species